ensembl:lncRNA LINC00683 long intergenic non-protein coding RNA 683
UGGUUACAGAGAAGCUGGCUUCCACGGUGUGAACCCGACUGAAUCACAGGCCGCUUUUUUGUUCUCCCUCGGCCUUGGAGGGCCUGGGACGUUCCUGUUGCCCAACAUCCUGGUGAGCUGAGAACAUUCUGUAGAUUAAUUAGGUUCUCUCCUCUGGCUCAGCAGGUCUGUUCUAGCCAUUUGACCAAAGGCUCUCUGAUAUUUUCUACCAGCCUUAGAACGACAGUCUGCAGAUGUGUGCACAUAAAUGUCUGGGAGGAGCACACAGAUACUGUGGGAGGAGUGGGUCCGGCGUAGCUAUUGGGAGAUCUCGCUCGUACACAUGGCGCUACAUAGAAAGAAUGCCCUGAGGUGAAGGUGACAGCUCGGCAGUUUCUUAAUACCCUGAACUUGAGCGUGGCCUGCGCUAGAGAAAAUACACGGUGCUUCUUAAAAACAAAAGCCAGCAGCCUGCAAGAGGGCUGUGCCUGCGAGUUCCUGGGAGCAGGAGGGGGCUGUUCCUCCGCCCCUGGCUCCAGUUUCACCCAAGUCACUUCACAGCAGUUGGAAGGAGGUCACCAAUUAAUAACAGAGUACACCAGUCAUCAUAAGAAGAAAAAUUCACAUUUAAAGUUUGGAAAGCAACAGGACAAAGGUCUGUCUUCAGUGGUGCGUAGACAUGCUCGUGAUUGAAUUGGAAAUAGUUCUCUUUCCUUCUCUCUGACUUCCUAACUGAAAAGCUGCAGCGUGGGGAGAAAGGCUGCUCAGAAGCCUGGAGCCAGAACACGCACCCCGGCUUUUGCAGGGCCGGCUCACUUGGUUAGAAUCAAAGGAAAAGCCUUGUUAUUUGGGAAGCUGGGCGUCCUCACCAAAUUAGGGGAUUUAAUUUGCAGAUAUCUAAGGAGUGCUUUGAAAUGAAAGAUGAACUAAAAUCUGCUCUGAGGCCCGUGAUUUUUCACCAGUGAAGGACUCUCUUGCUGCUGGACAUACAUGAAAAGCAUCAUCUGAUCUGAAACGCAAGUCCCUGCAAGACAGAGGAGAGACUUUAUAAACAUUUUAUACCAUUCUAUGAAAUCAAUUCGAUUCAGGGCUAGAAUUCAAGAAGUAAUCCAUGGGCAAGUAUAUCUGAUGGUAAACCCAAACGAUUAUAUUGUUAACCUCUUGUACUUUUUUUAAUUUUUUAUUAUUUGAUAUUAUUAUCACAAAAGUCGCUGGAACAGGAUCCAUGAGCUGCUUCUUCACUGCUUAGUGUUUUCAGAAGCUGAUGGAUUAUUAAGCUCCAAUUGAAUACUUGAUUUCCAAUGAUUCCAUUAAUUUUUCUGGUUUGUGGUAGGAUUUGAUUUACUUAUUUUGUACUUUAACACACCAAUAAAAAAUAGAUACUAAGAAAUA